rnacentral:rRNA from 1 species
AGAGCGAACGCUGGCGGCAGGCUUAACACAUGCAAGUCGAGCGGGCGUAGCAAUACGUCAGCGGCAGACGGGUGAGUAACGCGUGGGAACGUACCUUUUGGUUCGGAACAACCCAGGGAAACUUGGGCUAAUACCGGAUAAGCCCUUACGGGGAAAGAUUUAUCGCCGAAAGAUCGGCCCGCGUCUGAUUAGCUAGUCGGUGAGGUAAUGGCUCACCAAGGCGACGAUCAGUAGCUGGUCUGAGAGGAUGAUCAGCCACAUUGGGACUGAGACACGGCCCAAACUCCUACGGGAGGCAGCAGUGGGGAAUAUUGGACAAUGGGCGCAAGCCUGAUCCAGCCAUGCCGCGUGAGUGAUGAAGGCCCUAGGGUUGUAAAGCUCUUUUGUGCGGGAAGAUAAUGACGGUACCGCAAGAAUAAGCCCCGGCUAACUUCGCGCCAGCAGCCGC